rnacentral:rRNA from 1 species
ACUUAAAUUUUACGCUAUGACCCAAUAGUCUUAAAGAAAAUCCUCAAUUAACUUAAGUAUUCCUCAAAACAACACCCAACCAACAACCGCAAGGGCAUCACCCUCACGUUAUCCAAAGAAGAAAUAACACCCUCUCCCUUUUGCAUCAUGGAGAAGCAACACCCAAUUAAUAAUACCUAAUAUCCCGAAAGACCGCGAGCUACUAAUCUUGAAAAGCUAGUAUGUCAUCAUUAGCCCAAUAGCCAUUAGUAGAGGCCACAUACCUCUCCACGCGAUCUGAUAACUGGUUUCCCCUGAAAAGCAUCAAAGUGCUAGCUUACAGCUCACACAACCUCCCAAUCGUACUGACUGUAAGACACAAACUGUCGAGGACAAGCUCGACAGUGACCACAAAAUACCUAAACCUGCACCCAUUACCCGUAGGCUUAAAAGCAGCCAACAAAACACGUUCUAGUGCCCAACCAGCAAUCACCCAUUAUCCAACCAUAAAUUUUCCCUACAAGGGGAUUCAUUGCAAAACACCCGCAAUGUUAAUCAGGCAUUCUAUUAGUAUUUACAAAGUAACCAUUAACCCCACUCCAACCCAAGAGAAAGUGGGGGAACCCGUCAUCACUCUCACCAAUCAUACAGAGUAAACUCGGCAAUUACUUACUCUCGCCUGUUUACCAAAAACAUCGUCUUCUGCCAACACGCAUAGGAGAUACUGCCUGCCCAAUGACCAACCACACGGUUAAAUGGCCGCGUUAGCGUGAGCGUGCUAAGGUAGCGUAAUAAUUAGCCCUUUAAUUGGGGGCCAGUGAAAGGCAAAACGAGAGAAAACUUUCCCCUGUAUGCCAAAAUAACUUUACAUCUGAGUGAAAAGUCUCGGAUAAUUAAGGAAGACAAAAAGACCCUGCGGAGCUUUACCUCAUCUUGUCAAGAUUAGCAUACCAUAAUCGCCAACAAAAGGUUUGGUUGGGGCAACCUUGGAACAAUCAAAUCUUCCAAUUACACCAUCCACAAACUAUUAAUAACCUGUUUCGGACCAGAAAGAAGCUACCCCAGGGAUAACAGCGUAAUCCGUCUUUAGAGUACACAUCAAAAUACGGGUUUGCGACCUCGAUGUUGGCUUAAGGUAAUUCACAUAAGCGCAGCCGCUAUGAAAGAGUAGUCUGUUCGACUAUUAUACCCUUACAUGAGCUGAGUUAAGACCGGCGCAAGCUAGGUUGGUUUCUAUCUCCUUAACAUAGACAAAACUCCCAACUGUACGAAAGGACCCUAGGAUAUGCACAUCUAAAAGCAACCCCCCCCCUAAAUCUACCAUUACAUUAAUCACCAUUAUUACCACCCAAUCGC